CCUACGGGUGGCUGCAGUGGGGAAUUUUGCGCAAUGCUCGUAAGAGUGACGCAGCGACGCCGCGUGAAUGACGAAGGCCUUCGGGUCGUAACGUUCUUUCGACAGGGAAGAAAAUGCAUAUAAGUAACUGUGUAUGUAUUGACGGUACCUGUAUAAGCAGCGCAGGCUAACUCCGUGCCAGCAGCCGCGGUAAUACGGAGGGGGCGAGCGUUGGUCGUAGGGACUGGGCGUAGAGAGCACGUAGGCGGUGUUGUAAGUCAUUAGUCAAAGAGUAGAGCUAAACUUUAGUAAGGCUAGUGAUACUAUAAUACUAGAGUAUCAGAGAGGAAUGCAGAAUUCCUGGUGUAGCUGUGAAAUGCGUAGAUAUCAGGAGGAAUACCGUUAGCGAAGGCAGCAAUCUGGCUGGAAACUGACGCUGAGGUGCGAAAGCGUGGGUAGCAAACAGGAUUAGAUACCCCAGUAGUC
rnacentral:rRNA from 1 species